CGCACAUUGCGCCCUCUGGUAUUCCGGAGGGCAUGCCUGUUCGAGCGUCAUUUCAACCCUCAAGCCCCCGGCUUGGUGUUGGGGCGCUGCUCCGAGAGGAGCAGGCCCUGAAAUCCAGCGGCGAGCCCGCCGGGACCCCGAGCGCAGUAGUUAAACCCUCGCUCUGGAAGGCCCUGGCGGCGCCCUGCCGUUAAACCCCCAACUCCUGAAAAUUUGACCUCGGAUCAGGUAGGAAUACCCGCUGAACUUAA
rnacentral:misc_RNA from 1 species